UUCCGCUAGUAACUUUAUGUCAAACCAAGUACCAGCGUAGGACCAAAACAAAUGAUAAUCUAUGAAGGAUAAGAAGAUGUUUACUUAUCGUCAUGUUUAAUGACACCAUCUUCACACCAAAACAUAAUUUUAUUUGGCUGACAGAUUUCAAUCGGGAUGAUGUUCUCCGCAUUCUGCCAUCUCUUGAGGGCUGAACAUUUUCAUCACAACUGGACAAGAAUGUUGGCUCAUCUACUGGUUAUUGUUAGAUAUAAGUUAUGAAAUGAAUAUGUAUCCUGGAAGAUGUAGCAGUAACAUUGCAAAACUAGGUGGAUCAUAAAUAAAGGUUUACUGUACAGCUGAA